rnacentral:lncRNA from 1 species
CCCGGUCCCGUCCGACGCGCCGGGCCUGCUCUCCGUUAGCUAAGGCGGCGCGGACCCUAACCCUCCGGUCAGGCUAAGGGGACCCUACCUGUCGCCACCUCUCUCUCCGCUCUUCGUUCCUGCUUUAAGCACCAAAGCGGCCUGAAGCCAAUCUUCUGCGGGAGCAUCCCUUAGUUAGGAGCUUGUUUCGUCGCCUUAAAAAUUGCUAGUUCCUUCCCCUCCCCUGCAGGGCAGCGAUCAGAUGCGAAUAAGGGGAAGCGUUUUCCCAGGGGAAAAGCUAGCUGCCGUUUCACAGGUAAGAAAGAGUCAGGAAUAGAGUCUGGCAGGUGGAAGUAUAUCUGAUGCUUUGGACUGAAGUGCAAAAAUAACGGCAGUUCGCUUUCUUGCAGAAAAUCUGCCAGGUCAUUUGAUUACGUAGCCAUCGUUUAUAGCCAUAAACAGCCAUCGUUUAUGUCAAUUUAGACCAUGGGACUGUUUCCUCUGAUAGAGCAAUCUCCUGAAAUCUGCUGGAAAAAGCUAACUGAGAGACAAUCUGGAAGUCUGUAUUUAGCAGAUCCAGAGACGUUACCCUGUUGCAUUCGUGUCUGGUUUGGAGGUGCGAUUCGGGAAGUCAGGUCUUGACAGCGAGGUGUUGAAAGCAUCAGGGGCUGGUCUCGGCCGUGCCGCCUGCGCUAGCCGAGCUGGUACCUGGGGAAGCGUCAGGAAGUGCACAGCGUGGGCCGUGGUGGAGCGCGAGCGGAGAAGGAAGUGCUGGGAUUGGAUGCGAGAGCGGUCGAGGCGGUGGCCGUGGAUCAUUUCCAAGGAAGAGGCAGACCGUAGCAAAGGACGGGCAAUUUUUUUAUUGGGUAGCAAAAUCCACAGCCGUAUCUCCGCUUUCCCCUUUGAGCUCUCCGUUGCAAAGGUCCCGGUCCGCUUCUGAAGAAGCCCUCAACCGCGGUGAAGCAGGACGCAGAUGCGUUUUGUGGCCGAAGGGAGUAGCUUCGGGUGCUAGGAGAGGCCAAGCAGAUGCUCAAAGCAGAACGUCCUUGAUCUUUAGCACGUGCCUCAGAAAAGCAGAUCCUGAAGCAAUUCCAGGGUGACGCAGGAUGCCAAAGCCAGGUGGCCUUUGCCGCUGGUCAGAGCGGCCGUGCAGCGAGCCCUACGCUAUGGCUUUAGGAUAAAACACCUGAUUUAUAGAACAAACAGAUUUAACUACGUACCUCUUAAAAAUGUUUUAAUUGGUAGAGAUACUUUUUAAAUUAUUGGUGAUCCAACGUUCGCAAAGCUCUGAUUAGCUCUGCGCGAGUGUUCUGGCGUCGCGAUGUUCCCCAGCUGCUCCUCUUAACUUUCAAGUUGUCUUUUCUCAUGUCACUAGUAAUAAAUGAUCUGAAAACUGUAAUAUAGGGAAGUCU